rnacentral:lncRNA from 1 species
UAUAUAUUAUGAAGUAUUGGAACAUAAUGAAAACAUGGGGAACAAGCAUAUAGUGUGUGUUCAUUUAAGUAUUUAACAAGUUUCAUACAAUUUAUUGAAAUAAAUUAAAUGCAAAAUGACAGUUAUAUAUUUUCUAUCUAAGUGAGUCGCAACCUAGGCAGGCUAGGCGAGUGCCUAAGCGGUCUAGAUGGCGCCUCAAUUGGUCUAGGAGCCCUUUCUUAAUUUUCAAACGUCUAGGCAUUAAUCGGGGCGAUGGGUAGCCACCUAGUGCCUAGGCAGGGCCUAGGCAGUGCUAGGUGGGGAUUUUUAGAACAAUGCUAUAUUAGAUCCUCCAACCUUUGAUAUCACAUGUUCAUAUUAAUCUGAUUGAUAAAUGCACAGUUCUGUUUAUUGUUAGGACUCCAUUUGAACUCUCCUUAAUCAUGAUAAAGAUAAUUAACGUGGAAUUAAAUUACUUAAAGUCAAAACCAUUGAGGGCGCUAAUCUCCUUGAUUAUAAGAUAUUAAGUUUACGUGAAAGAGCUGUGGUUUAAUAACUUGAUAAACAUGGAAGAUUAUAAGGCAACAACCACAUGAUAGUUGGGAUUCAAUUAAGAUAUAUGCCCAUAAAAGAGGUGUCCCCGCUCAUAAGAAAAUCACUUCAAAAUUAUCUGGCACUAUCACAGUUAGUAGAUGACUCUUGGUUUUCAUUGCACUUCCAAUCCUUUACAAUGUCAUCCUCAAGUAUAUAUUCUCUCCAUCCACCAUUCUAGCAUGCUUAAUCUUAUACUUGUGUAUGACAUGUGUGUGUUGAUACACACACACACACACACACACACACACACACACACACACACACACACGCACGCACGCACAUAAUGGCGGAUGCAUUGAGGAGCAGAAGGGUUAGCUGAUCCACCGAUCUUCAAUGAACAUCCAUGGAUACCUUGGGUGCUGACCAUCCGAACUUCGGUGAAUGUCCAUGGAUACCUUAGAUGCUGCCCUUUUGAAGAUUAUAGUUGGCUUCAUACAUGUCAUCCAACUGUUUGAUAAAAUGUCUGAAAGAAGAGUGAAUGAAAUGGUGAUCUCAGUGAAUAACAAAGCAUCAUCAUUCUUGGACAAACAUAUUAAUGGGAUGCAAUGAUAUCAAACAUUGCUAGUGUUCAAGAUAAGUGUGUUUCUUUGUUAAGCAUUCAUAUGGAAGCAGCCCUGGAACAUGUUAGUUACCUUUGCAAAUGAGGCAUUAACAGGUGUGCCUUAUGCCUUUCUAAAUGACUUCAGGCCUACCAAGACUCGAUGAAAUGGCGAUAUGCAUGUUAUUUCUGGUAAAAAAAAUUUUGCGUGCGCUAUUCUUACUGACCCUCCUAAUAUGAUUUCUUAGAUCCGCCACUGUGUAUAUAUAUUGUGAUCCUUGUCUAAGAUUAACCCUAAUUAGUUCUAACAUUUAUAACUUCCAACAUGUUUGAAUUUUCAUUUUGCCGCUUUAUUCAAAGAGUCGCCAUUUUUAGAGCAUGUUAUUUCUAACAUAUAUAAAUUCUUGUAUAUUUAGGAUAUCUAGGAAUAUUCUAUAGGAUUAGAUAUUAUCCUAUUAGAGUUGUAAUCUUAUUAGGGUAAGGAAUCAUCCUUCCCCACUAGUAUAAAUAAAGGCACAAUGGGGUGGAAUACAACACACCUCAUAAUUAAUCUCUCUCUUCUCUCUCUUGCUACCAGCCUCCCCCUCUUUAUUCCAUUAGAAUAGUUCAGUAAAUUAAGCUUACAACACGUUAUCAGCAUGUUCUUGCCAGAAACUAAAGAACUGAAGGAUCAUGGAUGAGACUUUAUUCUACAAAAUUCAAAGGCUUUUAUUUGUUCUCUGCCAAUCAGGUGCGCUUAACAUAAAGUAAGAUAUUUGAUACGACCAUGAAGUAUGAAAAUAUUCUCCAUGAUGCAUGAAACCCCUAUAUUUAUAUUUACCUUCCGAUAUAUAUUGUAUGUGUUUCAUAUAUUUGUCAAUAUAUAUAUAUACACACACACAUUUCAUGCAUUCAGCAUUAUUUAUUUUGUUAUGUCGAAUUUGUGAGUCAAAGCAUCGAAAUAAAUUAGAAGCAAUUAGCGUCCUUCAAACCCUAGAAAAGUUGAAAAAAAUAAAAACUAGGAUUUUUUUUUU